rnacentral:rRNA from 2 species
UCGGAUCAGGUAGGGAUACCCGCUGAACUUAAGCAUAUCAAUAAGCGGAGGAAAAGAAACCAACAGGGAUUGCCUUAGUAACGGCGAGUGAAGCGGCAACAGCUCAAAUUUGAAAGCUGGCCCUUUUAGGGUCCGCAUUGUAAUUUGUAGAGGAUGAUUCGGCGAGGGCUCCUGCCUAAGUCCCCUGGAACGGGGCGUCAUAGAGGGUGAGAAUCCCGUAUGCGGUAGGUUGCCUUAGCCAUGUGAAUCUCCUUCGACGAGUCGAGUUGUUUGGGAAUGCAGCUCUAAAUGGGAGGUAAAUUUCUUCUAAAGCUAAAUACCGGCCAGAGACCGAUAGCGCACAAGUAGAGUGAUCGAAAGAUGAAAAGCACUUUGGAAAGAGAGUUAAAAAGUACGUGAAAUUGUUGAAAGGGAAGCGCUUGCAACCAGACUUGUCCGCAGUUGCUCAGCCGGUCUCCUGACCGGCGUACUCUUCUGCGGCCAGGCCAGCAUCAGUUCGGGCGGUCGGAUAAAGGCCUCGGGAAUGUGGCUCCUCUCGGGGAGUGUUAUAGCCCGGGGUGCAAUGCGGCCAGCCUGGACUGAGGAACUCGCUUCGGCAAGGAUGCUGGCGUAAUGGUUGUAAGCGGCCCGUCUUGAAACACGGACCAAGGAGUCUAACAUCUAUGCGAGUGUUCGGGUGUCAAACCCGUACGCGUAAUGAAAGUGAACGGAGGUGGGAACCCGCAAGGGUGCACCAUCGGCCGAUCCUGAUGUCUUCGGAUGGAUUUGAGCAAGAGCAUAGCUGUUGGGACCCGAAAGAUGGUGAACUAUGCCUGAAUAGGGUGAAGCCAGAGGAAACUCUGGUGGAGGCUCGCAGCGGUUCUGACGUGCAAAUCGAUCGUCAAAUUUGGGUAUAGGGGCGAAAGACUAAUCGAACCAUCUAGU